UCUUCAUGCUGUUGUCCUUUGACCGAUCAUAGUAGCAGGCGUCUCUCGUGAUAUGCUGGAACAUACACGACGAGGCUUGGAACUCGAUUCUUCUUAAGAAAAGAACUUCUCUUAGAACUUGAUCAGUACGUGCAGUAAUUAUUGAUAAUAAAAUUUUCGUGGAAAAAGACAUUAUAUUGAAGAAACGUAACUGCUAGAAAUUCAAUAAAGACAGUACAUGAGAAGAUGAUUUUUAAUAUAAGCUUGUUAUUUUUACUUGCUACCUUCAGCAUGUUUAAGCAUGAGACACUAGCAUUUCGGUGGUGGGGAACGUCGAGGAUACCUCUAAAAUGUUACCAAAAGUUAGACACUGGUGAUUAUUCUACUCAUAUUUCCAUGGAUAUAGAGAGGUAUUGGUUUAAUGCGCACUAUAGAUCAUGUGAAUCUUUUGCAUACUCGGGUUACGGAGGCAAUGAAAAUAAUUUUGCAACUAUUAGAGAAUGCAUGAUGACAUGCUCUAAAGGAUACAUACCUUAACGAAGUUUCAAAUUUGGAAAACAUUGACAAUUGAUAAGUAUUUGUAAUAGUAAGAUAUUGAAUUUCAAUAAAAGUACUAUAUAAAA